UACAGAGGUCUCAAGCGUUGUUCGGAUUCAUUGGGCGUAAAGGGUGCGUAGGCGGCGCGGUAAGUCGGGUGUGAAAUCUCGGAGCUUAACUCCGAAACUGCAUUCGAUACUGCCGUGCUUGAGGACCGGAGAGGAGACUGGAAUUUACGGUGUAGCGGUGAAAUGCGUAGAUAUCGUAAGGAAGACCAGUGGCGAAGGCGGGUCUCUGGACAGUUCCUGACGCUGAGGCACGAAGGCCAGGGGAGCAAACGGG
rnacentral:rRNA from 1 species